UACGAAGGGGGCUAGCGUCGUUCGGAAUCACUGGGCGUAAAGCGCACGUAGGCGGUUCUUUAAGUCAGGGGUGAAAUCCCGAGGCUCAACCUCGGAACUGCCUUUGAUACUGGGGAUCUCGAGUCCGGGAGAGGUGAGUGGAACUGCGAGUGUAGAGGUGAAAUUCGUAGAUAUUCGCAAGAACACCAGUGGCGAAGGCGGCUCACUGGCCCGGAACUGACGCUGAGGUGCGAAAGCGUGGGGAGCAAACAGG
rnacentral:rRNA from 1 species